CAGUUACUGUGUGCCGAAUGCUUCCAAGGCUUGAACCCUUACAACUCUAUGAAUAGGAUUUCAUUACUUUCAUUUCACAUAGGAGAGAACUGAGGCACGGUUCUCUCAAGAAGUGGUGCAGUACAUCAAACUUUUCUUAAAACGGGCCGGCACCAUGGGACAAACAAGAUGGAAUUCCUUAGAAUGGUGCCAUCAAUUGAAUGCAGCACAAAUGUCCACGUGACUGCCAAACAGUGUCCCAGGAACUACCUGAAGCCUGAGGAAGAUGCUCCCCACAACAGCUGCUCCCAC